CGCACACGUACAUGGGGUUAAAGUUCUAGGAACAUUCAUCACAGAGUGGGAUGCAGGUGCUGAAAUUUGCAAUAAAAUAUUGGCUGACAAGUCAUCAGUUCAGAAUGUAGUACUGCAGUUGACCAGAAUAGCCAAGUACCAUGGGUUUGAAGGAUGGCUUCUUAAUAUUGAAAACAAAAUAAACCCUGAACAGAUUGGCAGAUUAACUGAUUUGGAAGGACGACGU